rnacentral:tRNA from 1 species
ACCGGGGUAGCUUAAUGGUAGAGCCGCUCCCUGUUAAGGAGUACUGUGCAGGUUCGAGUCCUGCGCCCGGUG